rnacentral:tRNA from 2 species
GGAGAGAUGGCUGAGUGGUUGAUAGCUCCGGUCUUGAAAACUGUUAUAGUUCGAAAUAACUAUCAAGGGUUCGAAUCCCCCUCUCUCCU